rnacentral:tRNA from 1 species
GAUUUGUGGUAUUCUAAAGUAAGCUUCUAACUUAUCUUUCAAGCAGUGAAAAUCUGUUUAAAUCUCU